GCGCGGGUAGCUCAGUGGAUAGAGCGUCUGCCUCCGGAGCAGAAGGCCGUGGGUUCGAGCCCCUCCCCGCGUACCA
rnacentral:tRNA from 1 species